rnacentral:lncRNA from 1 species
AAACUUUUAUUUUCUUUGAGAGAUAGAUAGCACGCUAUCCGCUUCGUUUAUUUCAUUUAGAAAUAAACUUAGCUGGAAAUAUGAAUCAACUAGGAUUCGAACUUGGAACCUCAGAUACCAACCAUCAAGUUCUUUGCCACUUGCUCUAGGGACGGUCGGAUAUCCGUGCUCGGAACUUUUAAUAUAUAUAUAUAGGUCAGAAAUUGUAAUAUAAACUUUGAAUAAGU